rnacentral:rRNA from 1 species
AUUGAACGCUGGCGGCAGGCCUAACACAUGCAAGUCGAGCGAGCGGCGGACGGGUGGGCAAUGUAUGGGGACUGCCCGAUCGAGGGGGAUAACUGCUGGAAACGGUGGCUAAUAGCGCAUACUAUCGGAUAACCCAUAUGGGAUUAGCUAGUAGGUGGGGUAAAGGCUCACCUAGGCGACGAGCCCUAGCUGGUCUGAGAGGAUGAUCAGCCACACUGGGACUGAGACACGGCCCAGACUCCUACGGAGGCAGCAGUGGGGAAUAUUGCACAAUGGGCGCAAGCCUGAUGCAGCCAUGCCGCGUGUAUGAAGAAGGCCUUAGGGUUGUAAAGUACUUUCGGCGGGGAGGCGUUACCCGCAGAGGAAGCACCGGCUAACUCCGUGCCAGCAGCCGCGGUAAUUC